CAUGAUCAACAAGGACAACAUUAGGUAAGGACCCCAAAUGUACAGUGGGCACUGAUCCAGAUGUUAGAGUGCAGCCCAUAUUUUGCUACAAAUUCACUUCUCUGGUCUGGGAUCUGAUAAGAUUGAGGCUCUGUCGUUUCAUUGGUUGAAAUGGGGCUACGAUUGAAUUAAAUCCCUAAAUAAAUCAUAUUUAACCUUUUAUUACAUAAGGUUUGGGAAAUUAACAUUAUUGUUCAAUGUAAAAAAAAUAAUUUAAUACAAUGUCCUUGGUUUUAAACCUCACGUGUUGAAACAAAAGGUCAAAACAAUACAAAAAAUAUAAACACCACGGUACAAAUACUACAGGUAGAGGAACUCCGCCCGGCUGCACCGUUGUAGGUAAACAGAGCGAACGCUUCCGCUAACGUCAUUCAUCAAGCGACAUUUGGUAAAAGAAAAAUAGGCUCUCAGCAGACAUAAUAAAAGUGACAGAGUGAUGCAGUAAAGCAAAACUUUGGCUGAGUUUAAUGUAAAAUAACAACAACUGUACACAUACGGCUUGGGGUCUGCGACGUUCAGCCUGAACCUGCAUAAUCAGCCGGUGGUGGAACACAAGGUGGCGCUCUCAGACGAGCCGUGAUUGGCGGGAUCGCCCAUGGCGAAGACGCGAGCGGUGAAGAUGGAGAAGGAGUAGAGUCUCUGCAUGGUGUAGUGGCACAGCAACUCCGCCUCCCAGGCUUUGGUGGUUCUGGCCCUGUUGAUGCUGGAGUCCUGUUGGAAAUAAAAUGAAGAUUUCUUCAUGGCCGGCGUCAGUUUGGUGCUGAACUCUGAACAGCUCUUGAAUUCAGCCAGCCACGCCACCUCGGCCCUGUAGCUGCCCAGGACGCGCAGCAUCUUCUCAAUGCAAGGCUGAAGAUGGAGGGAGAGAGGAGAGAGGAGGGUCAACAAAUCACAGAAAGUUUUUGUCGUGCUGUUGACGUCGUGAGCCGUAGUUUUACGUGCAGUCAAAGUGAAACUGCAGCAGAUUUAAUCUAACGCUGCUGGUUUUACGCCCGUCAGCUGUGACCUCACCACAGACGUCGUUUUGAGUGAAGUGGGAUCACACAUGUCCUUGGCCUCCAUCCAGUCGAUCGGGUGCACGGGGUUGACUUUGAGCUUGGAUCCAGUUUGAGUCUGCAUGUCGUUCAAGUAAAAACAACAGAAAUGUCAGAGUUUAUAAAACACAUCCUGCCCAACGGUGGUCGACCAGGAGCGACCCAUUAACCUGACGUCUAUUUUUGCAGGUUUUUUCUGACUGUGGGAAGAAGCUGCAGUAUCUGGAGUCACCACCAGGGCUUCACAUCAAAAUCUUCUUGCUGUGAGGCAAAAAAACGCUAACCACUCUUCCACCGUGUGGCCCCUCAUCCCAAAAGGUAAUCCCAGAAUAUAAAUUUGAUCAUCAGGGGGCGCUACCUUUAAUGUUCAGUGUGUUCUCCAGAACUGUUGUCAAAAAGUUCCUGUGUCUCUGAGUACCAGUCAUUCAAACACAGUUACAGGUUUAGAACUUUUUACUGUACCAUAAAGAGUACUGAACCUGAACAUGUUGGACUGUGCCAGAAAAGACCAAUCAGAAAACUUUCAAAGAACUGCAGUAAUACUACAGUACAAAAAAAAGUAUCUGGUACUGAUGCUGUAACGUUUGAUCCUACUCGACACCCCCUGUAGUUCUAACUCUGGGUCAAGACAGAGACAGACAGAGACGGACUUACUGUGAUGGUCCUGGCGAUGCUGAGGAGCUGCGUGGAGCUGCUCUGUGCGUCCGCGCAUUCUUUCUGCGAAGGAAAGCAGGACGUGGAGACGAAACACAGGAGAAGAAGAGCGGCGCUGGUGAAGGAAACAGACAUGAUGGCUGAGAGUCGGACGGUCUGAAGGCCAGGUAGGACAGACAGGAGCUGCUGGGUCAGUGUCUGUGUCAGUGUCAGUGUCAGUGUCAGUGAGUGAUGAGAGACUCCAGCUCCUGUCUGCUGUGACUGAUGCUGGCUGCAGGGAACACGGCUGCUUAUAAAGGAGCUGUGGUCAGCGCGGGAGCAGGACUGUGAGUCAGUGCAGGGAUUUCCUAGGCAUCCCUCAGGUGAGCAUCGACGUGUACGUAACGCACAGGAAGGAAGAGACGGAACUGGUGAUCUUACUAAUAAAUAAACAUAUUGUGUUUCAUGACGUGGUUCUAGCACAAUUAAUGAUUCAAGUCGUUGGGUGUCGUAAUGCGCGGGAGUUGGUGUG